rnacentral:rRNA from 1 species
GACGUGGGAUGCAAGUGUUAUCCGGAAUCAUUGGGCGUAAAGCGUCUGUAGGUGGUUUCUUAAGUCCACUGUUAAACCUUGAGGCUCAACCUCAAAUCUGCAUUGGAAACUAGGAGACUUGAGUAUAGUAGGGGUUGAGGGAAUUUCCAGUGGAGCGGUGAAAUGCGUAGAUAUUAGAAAGAACACCGGUGGCGAAGGCACUCUACUGGGCUAUUACUGACACUCAGAGACGAAAGCUUGGGGAGCAAAUGGG